rnacentral:rRNA from 1 species
AUUGAACGCUGGCGGCAGGCCUAACACAUGCAAGUCGAGCGCGAAAGUUCUUCGGAAUGAGUAAAGCGGCGGACGGGUGAGUAAUACAUGGGAAUCUGCCUGGUAGUGGGGGACAACGUUUCCGAAAGGAACGCUAAUACCGCAUACGCCCUACGGGGGAAAGGGGGGGAUCUUCGGGCCUCUCGCUAUCAGAUGAGCCC